rnacentral:rRNA from 1 species
AUUGAACGCUGGCGGCAUGCCUUACACAUGCAAGUCGAACGGCAGCACGGGAGCAAUCCUGGUGGCGAGUGGCGAACGGGUGAGUAAAGUAUCGGAACGUGCCCAGUCGUGGGGGAUAACGUAGCGAAAGUUACGCUAAUACCGCAUACGAUCUAUGGAUGAAAGCGGGGGAUCGCAAGACCUCGCGCGAUUGGAGCGGCCGAUAUCAGAUUAGGUAGGUGGUGGGGUAAAGGCUCACCAAGCCGACGAUCUGUAGCUGGUCUGAGAGGACGACCAGCCACACUGGGACUGAGACACGGCCCAGACUCCUACGGGAGGCAGCAGUGGGGAAUUUUGGACAAUGGGCGAAAGCCUGAUUCAGCCAUGCCGCGUGCAGGAUGAAGGCCUUCGGGUUGUAAACUGCUUUUGUACGGAACGAAAAGGUUUGGCCUAAUAAGCUGAGCUCAUGACGGUACCGUAAGAAUAAGCACCGGCUAACUACGUGCCAGCAGCCGCGGUAACAC